rnacentral:rRNA from 1 species
GAUGAACGCUGGCGGCGUGCCUAAUACAUGCAAGUCGAGCGAACAGACGAGGAGCUUGCUCCUCUGACGUUAGCGGCGGACGGGUGAGUAACACGUGGAUAACCUCCCUAUAAGACUGGUAUAACCUCGGGAAACCGGAUCUAAUACCGUAUAAUAUCUUGAACCGCAUGGUUCAAUAGUGAAAGACGGUUUUGCUGUCACUUAUAGAUGGAUCCGCGCCGCAUUAGCUAGUUGGUAAGGUCAAGGAUUACCAAGGCGACGAUGCGGAGCCGAGAGGAGUGGAUGGGCGGCCGCACUGGGAGGGAGACCCGGUCCAGACGGCUACGGGAGGGAGCAGUAGGGAAUCUGCCGGAAUGGGUGAGAGCCUGACGGAGCAACGCCGCGUGAGUAAGGAAGGUCGUCGGGUCGUAGAACUCUGUUAUUAGGGAAGAACAAAUGUGUAAGUAACUAGGCGCGUGUGGACCGGACCUGGGCAGAGAGCCACCGGCAAACUCGGGC